CCGAAGCCGCUGCCUCCACUGCCAUAACCAACGCCAUAGCCAUAUCCCAUAGGCUUAACUGUGUGAUCAGGCUUCUCUAUGCCAUCAAUCUUCUCUUUGUCUUUAAGCUUCUCUUUGUAAUCAGGCUUUACUUCAUGAUCAGGCUUCUCUAUGUCAUCAAUCUUCUCUUUGCCACCAUCAUUAAGCCUCUCUUUGUAAUUAGGCUUUACUAUAUGAUCAGGCUUCUCUAUGCCAUCAAUCUUCUCUUUGCCACCAUCAUUAAACCUCUCUUUGUAAUUGGGCUUUACUAUAUGAUCAGGCUUCUCUAUGUCAUCAAUGUUCUCUUUGUCACCAUCAUUAAGCUUCUCUUUGUAAUCAGGCUUUACUUUAUGAUCAGGCUUCUCUAUGCCAUCAAUCUUCUCUUUGCCACCAUCAUUAAACCUCUCUUUGUAAUUGGGCUUUACUAUAUGAUCAGGCUUCUCUAUGUCAUCAAUNN
rnacentral:lncRNA from 1 species